rnacentral:lncRNA from 1 species
AUGUCAUCAAGCAGAAACACAAGGGUUAACAAACAGCAUUAGUGAGACACCCUGCAAGAAGUGAAACAUUAGCCCAAUAGACAGCAGCAAGACCCAGUGGGAUCACACCGGCAGCUCUACAGCACUGUUGUGAGUUUUCCUGGCUGUAUGGUUGCCCUCCAUAGCCUGUAAGCCACCAUGACGAGACAUUAUGGUUCAUCUGUCCUGGGAAGGUGACCUUUUGAGAACUACUGGUCUACAAACCGCAAACCACAAGGUCGGGAGGAGAAUUGGGAAAGGAAACCAUAAGGAAAUGGGAGCAGGAAAUCAUAACAGUUACAGAACACGUCGCAUUCAGGAGAGUAUAUUUCCCUUUGUGGUCCAAAGGCUUAUGGCAGAUAGGCACCAAGCAAAGGGCUGCAAGGAAGAAAGAAGAAAGGUAGAAAGGAAGAUGGUGGCCCCCAGGGGUCCCAUCCAGUGUGGGGUUGUGAGUAUAAACAGGAAACCAAAGAAGCUCUCCUAUCAACAAAACAUUGAAAACAGCCAUCAAUUUGAAAUGGCUCAUCAUUCUAUGCACUGCACUAUCCAGCUGCCUGAUUGAUUGUGAGAAGUCUGGAACCUGGGGGACUUCCCAGAACCCCACUCCAAUGCCUGUGAAAUAGAUGUCAAGUCCUAAAAUAAAUCAAACUCAUAAGUAAGGAAUAAAGCA